rnacentral:rRNA from 1 species
UACGUAGGGUGCAAGCGUUGUCCGGAAUGAUUGGGCGUAAAGCGUCCGCAGGUGGCUAUGUAAGUCUGCUGUUAAAGAGUGAGGCUCAACCUCAUAAGAGCAGUGGAAACUACAUGGCUAGAGUGCGGUCGGGGCAGAGGGAAUUCCUGGUGUAGCGGUGAAAUGCGUAGAGAUCAGGAAGAACACCAGUGGCGAAAGCGCUCUGCUAGGCCGCAACUGACACUGAGGGACGAAAGCUAGGGGAGCGAAUGGG